rnacentral:rRNA from 1 species
GACGAACGCUGGCGGCGUGCUUAACACAUGCAAGUCGAACGGAAAGGCCCUGCUCUUGUGGGGUGCUCGAGUGGCGAACGGGUGAGUAACACGUGAGUAACCUGCCCUUGACUUUGGGAUAAAUUCAGGAAACUGGGGCUAAUACCGGAUAGGAGCUCCUGCUGCAUGGUGGGGGUUGGAAAGUUUCGGCGGUUGGGGAUGGACUCGCGGCUUAUCAGCUUGUUGGUGGGGUAGUGGAUUACCAAGGCUUUGACGGGUAGCCGGCCUGAGAGGGUGACCGGCCACAUUGGGACUGAGAUACGGACCAGAAUCCUACGGGAGGCAGCAGUGGGGAAUAUUGCACAAUGGGCGGAAGUCUGAUGCAGCAACGCCGCGUGCGGGAUGACGGCCUUCGGGUUGUAAACCGCUUUGGACUGUGACGAAGCGUGAGUGACGGUAAUGGGUAAAGAAGCACCGGCUAACUACGUG